GUAGGUGGCAAGCGUUGUCCGGAAUUAUUGGGCGUAAAGCGCGCGCAGGUGGGUUCUUUAAGUCUGAUGUGAAAGCCCCCGGGCUCAACCGGGGAGGGUCAUUGGAAACUGGGGAACUUGAGUGCAGGAGAGGAAAGUGGAAUUCCACGUGUAGCGGUGAAAUGCGUAGAUAUGUGGAGGAACACCAGUGGCGAAGGCGACUUUCUGGCCUGUAACUGACACUGAGGCGCGAAAGCGUGGGGAGCAAACAGGAUUAGAUACCCUGGUAGUCCACGCCGUAAACGAUGAGUGCUAAGGGUUGGGGGGUUUCCGCCCCUCAGUGCUGCAGCUAACGCAUUAAGCACUCCGCCUGGGGAGUACGGUCGCAAAGACUG
rnacentral:rRNA from 1 species